CCUGCCCCUAGACGUGUUGUAGGUGUAGCUACUUUGACACAUGUGUGUCAAAAGGUUGCAGAGAGGAGAAAGGCUAUUUCUAUGCUCAGUAUUCUGACCUGUAAACAUCUGAAUAAUUAGUAUCCUAACAUU